GUGAAUCAUCAAAUUUUUGAACGCAAAUUGCACUCCCUGGUAUUCCGGGGAGUAUGCCUGUUUGAGGGUCGUUAGAACAAAAAUCGAAGCGUCGCUCUUUUUUUUUUUAAGGGUGAUCGCGUGGGAAUUGGGCCGUCUUUCCAAUGUUGUUUCUUGGUAAGGUGGCCCGAAAUUCAUCCAUCCGGUUCGCUUAAAGCUUUAUUAAGGUGAACUUUGUUUACA
rnacentral:misc_RNA from 1 species